UCCCUUUGAUGGGGACACCAAUAAAAUUGAAACCAUUUAGAAAAGAUCAGCGCGACUUUUGCGCAAGAAUGUCACCCACAAAUCAAGAAAUGAUCCAAAUCUUU
rfam:Solanum lycopersicum cultivar Heinz 1706 chromosome 7, whole genome shotgun sequence.